rnacentral:misc_RNA from 1 species
UCCGAGUUGACCCCGGCAGUCUCCUGCGAGUCCCCGCCAUUACGCGCUGGCAACACAGGACAAGGGUUGCGCUCGUUGCGGGACUUAACCCAACAUCUCACGGCACGAGCUGACGACAGCCAUGCAGCACCUGUGCUAGCCCCUUGCGGACACCGGCUUUCACCGGCUUUAACUAGCAUGUCAAGCCUAGGUAAGGUUCUUCGCGUUGCAUCGAAUUAAGCCACAUGCUCCGCCGCUUGUGCGGGCCCCCGUCAAUUCCUUUGAGUUUUAACCUUGCGGCCGUACUUCCCAGGCGGGGUACUUACUGCGUUAGCGGCGGCACCGGGGGGGUCGAUACCCCCGACACCUAGUGCCCAUCGUUUACGGCGUGGACUAC